UGAGGAAUAUUGGUCAAUGGCCGAGAGGCUGAACCAGCCAAGUCGCGUGAAGGAAGAAGGAUCUAUGGUUUGUAAACUUCUUUUAUAGGGGAAUAAAGUGGAGGACGUGUCCUUUUUUGUAUGUACCCUAUGAAUAAGCAUCGGCUAACUCCGUGCCAGCAGCCGCGGUAAUACGGAGGAUGCGAGCGUUAUCCGGAUUUAUUGGGUUUAAAGGGUGCGUAGGUGGUGAUUUAAGUCAGCGGUGAAAGUUUGUGGCUCAACCAUAAAAUUGCCGUUGAAACUGGGUUACUUGAGUGUGUUUGAGGUAGGCGGAAUGCGUGGUGUAGCGGUGAAAUGCAUAGAUAUCACGCAGAACUCCGAUUGCGAAGGCAGCUUACUAAACCAUAACUGACACUGAAGCACGAAAGCGUGGGGAUCAAACA
rnacentral:rRNA from 2 species